ensembl:lncRNA
UCAAUUAAAUGCAACCUUAUAGUGAAUAAAAUCUUAAAAUAAAUCUUUCUUUUGAAGUCAGUUUCUUUCACACUGUAAUUACAAUAAAAUACUGUAUCAGUCUUUAUACUUUAACAUUUCAUGUUACAUUCAACGUGUUACAUGCUGUUUCUUUAUAAUUACUUGUGAAAUGUAAUAGCAAUUUCUAAGUGAAAAAUGUUCAGAGCCUUUUUAGUGCAGAAAAAUGUAUAUAUUGGUAUUGUUCUAAAUUGCAGUUUAGAAAUGUUGUAAAAGUUGGGUAAUUGGUCAUAUUUGACUCAUAUUUGCUGUAUUUCAUGUUUCUUUUAUUCAUCUUCUGUUGUUACAGGAAGAGGAACCUCCUGAAGAAGGAUGUGGAGGUCAGUGUGAACAUACACAAACGCACGCGCGCACACACACACACACACACACACGCACACACACAUACAUACAUACAGUACAUAAAUAGAAUGACUAUAUACAAGUAUAAAAGAUGUGCAGUAUAAACCAAAUGAACAUAACUGUAACUGUUGAUAUCCAGUUUGUGCAUAAUCAGUGCAAUGUAAUGUGAGCGUAACUGAAGUGGUCUGCCUAUCUGCAGUGCCUACUAGCUGUACUGGCAUAAAGAGCUGGAUUCUUCGCAUCCCCCAUGCUUCCACAUGUCUGUGCAGCUUACAUCUGCUGAAAAACAGUAAUGUUCCUCUGCCCAAGAUGCCCUCCGAUCUCAAGCUGCUAUACCAGGAGAUGUCUCAGCUCCCAAAACAAGCCAAGCAGUGCUUCCAGAAUGUUCUCCACCGCCUCAACAUCCUCAACCCCAUGUAGAAUGCCUCAGCAGCAGCAUGUAGUCUUGGGCUGCAUCCGAAAACUUAAGCAGAAAGCAGCCAUGUGAAGCCAGCACUGAAGGUAGAGGAAGUGAAUGAUGGAGAGAUGAGAUUUCCCAAAAUCACUGUGCCCUCAAAGUUAGACUCGAUGACUCUCACUGUUCCCGUAACAAAUCUGACGCCCCGCAGGUCAGUGUUUAUCAAUCUGAUCUAAUAAUAUGAUUUACUAGCUAAAUAUUAUGCAUACAUAUAAUGCUAUUUCUCUGAAAGUCCUGUUUUUUUUUCUUUCCACUCUCAGCAAAGCUGUGGAUUCAGAGUAAGUUGUUCUUUGUGUAGUUUUGUAAAACUAGAGCUGCUAUAAACUGUAAUGUGUUGUAUGUUGUUGUUCAGAAGAAUGCAGGAGAUGGCUCCUAGUGAGGAAGAUGAAGACAUGAACAAGUCUGAUCUACUUACUGUGAGUGAGUUUUAAAAAAAUCCAUAUAGUUACUUUAUACUCAACUGAGAUGUCAUACUUCAAUCUGACAUGACUUCCUCUGGUGUGUUGUCAUUUCCUGUAGAGGCCUCGAGCAUCCAGCGUCUACAUCCAGCCAGACAAGUAUUGUUGUGAAUGAGCGUCUGCAGGAGCUGGUCAAGCUGUUUAAAGAGUGAACAGACCUUGCAAGAGAGAGAAUGGUGCAUCCAGAUGAUUCUGAUGAUGAAAGCCCUCCAGCACGUGGGUAGACUUUUAUUUGUGGUUUAUUUCACUGUAUUAGUUCAGUAACGUCAGGUCAAGGAUAGAUCGAUUCUUCACCUUUGGUAUUUGAACCCUAGCUCCGGCAAAAAAGCCUGGUGAAGCCCCAUCUCCACCACCUCCUCCAGAGGAAACGAAAGACGCUGAAGAGGAGGUUAAAGUCUACAAGUUUAUGGGAUACAAGUUCCCAGUCCCUCAGUUCAAAAUGCCCCAGAUUCCUGCUUGGCUGAGAGUCAUACUGGAGUACCCUUUCCCAUCCAGCAUUGAUCCCUACACAGGUGAGAUCUACAACCAGCAAGAGUGGAUGAGUUCUAUUUAUACAAACAAACGACCUUAUU